rnacentral:rRNA from 1 species
GACGAACGCUGGCGGCGUGCUUAACACAUGCAAGUCGAACGAAGAGCGAUGGAAGCUUGCUUCUAUCAAUCUUAGUGGCGAACGGGUGAGUAACGCGUAAUCAACCUGCCCUUCAGAGGGGGACAACAGUUGGAAACGACUGCUAAUACCGCAUACGAUCCAAUCUCGGCAUCGAGGAUGGAUGAAAGGUGGCCUCUAUUUAUAAGCUAUCACUGAAGGAGGGGAUUGCGUCUGAUUAGCUAGUUGGAGGGGUAACGGCCCACCAAGGCGAUGAUCAGUAGCCGGUCUGAGAGGAUGAACGGCCACAUUGGGACUGAGACACGGCCCAGACUCCUACGGGAGGCAGCAGUGGGGAAUCUUCCGCAAUGGACGAAAGUCUGACGGAGCAACGCCGCGGGAGUGAUGACGGCCUUCGGGUUGUAAAGCUCUGUUAAUCGGGACGAAAGGUCCUCUUGCGAAUAGUUAGAGGAAUUGACGGUACCGGAAUAGAAAGCCACGGCUAACUACGUG